CCUACGGGAGGCAGCAGUGAGGAAUAUUGGUCAAUGGCCGGAAGCCUGAACCAGCCAAGCCGCGUGAAGGACGAAGGUGCCAAGCAUUGUAAACUUCUUUUGUCAAGGGACAAAAUCCGGCUCGAGAGCCUGACCGAGUGUACUUGAAGAAAAAGCAUCGGCUAACUCCGUGCCAGCAGCCGCGGUAAUACGGAGGAUGCGAGCGUUAUCCGGAUUUAUUGGGUUUAAAGGGUGCGUAGGCGGGCUGUUAAGUCCGCGGGAAAAGCCCGUGGCUUAACCCCCGAAGUGCGGUUGAAACUGGCUGUCUUGAGAUGGGGAGAGGUAUGCGGAAUGCGUAGUGUAGCGGUGAAAUGCUUAGAUAUUGCGCAGAACUCCGAUUGCGAAGGCAGCAUACCGGAGGCGAUCUGACGCUGAGGCACGAAAGCGUGGGUAUCGAACAGGAUUAGAUACCCGGGUAGUC
rnacentral:rRNA from 1 species